UUUUAUGGCCAUACCAUCCUGAAUGUGCUUGAUCUGCUCUUGGAAGCUAAGCAGGGUCAGGCCUGGUUAUUACUUAGAUGGGAGAUCUCACAGGCUUUUAUGAGAAGAAAUGAGAC
rnacentral:rRNA from 1 species